rnacentral:rRNA from 15 species
CAGGUGCAUGCCUCUAGCAUGAAGUCAGACAAGUGAAC